AUUGAACGCUGGCGGCAGGCCUAACACAUGCAAGUCGAGCGGAGCGGCGGACGGGUGCGUAAUGCCUAGGAAUCUGCCUGGUGGUGGGGGAUAACGUCCGGAAACGGGCGCUAAUACCGCAUACUAUCAGAUGAGCCUAGGUCGGAUUAGCUAGUGGGUGGGGUAAAGGCCUACCAAGGCGACGAUCCGUAACUGGUCGGAGAGGAUGAUCAGUCAAACUGGAACUGAGACACGGUCCAGACUCCUACGGGAGGAAGCAGGGGGGAAUAUUGGAAAAUGGGCGAAAGCCUGAUCCAGCCAGGCCGCGGGUGUGAAGAAGGCUUUCGGAUUGUAAAGCACUUUAAGUUGGGAGGCGUUACCAAAAGAAUAAGCACCGGCUAACUUCGUGCCAGCAGCCGCGGUAAUUC
rnacentral:rRNA from 1 species